rnacentral:rRNA from 1 species
AUGGCUCAGGAUGAACGCUAGCGACAGGCUUAACACAUGCAAGGUCGAGGGGCAGCAUAAAAGUAGCAAUACUUGGGUGGCGACCGGCGCACGGGUGAGUAACGCGUAUGCAACCUACCUAUCGAGAGGGGAAUAACCCGGCGAAAGUCGGACUAAUACCGCAUAAAACAGGGGCACCGCAUGGUGAUAUUUGUUAAAGAAAUUCGCUGAUAGAUGGGCAUGCGUUCCAUUAGGUAGUUGGUGAGGUAACGGCUCACCAAGCCGACGAUGGAUAGGGGAACUGAGAGGUUGGUCCCCCACACUGGUACUGAGACACGGACCAGACUCCUACGGGAGGCAGCAGUGAGGAAUAUUGGUCAAUGGGCGGGAGCCUGAACCAGCCAAGUCGCGUGAAGGAAGAAGGAUCUAUGGUUCGUAAACUUCUUUUGCAGGGGAAUAAAGUGCAGGACGUGUCCUGUUUUGUAUGUACCCUGAGAAUAAGGAUCGGCUAACUCCGUGCCAGCCGCCGC